rnacentral:tRNA from 1 species
AGAGUGGCAUAGUGAUAAAAUUCUGAAUUUACAAUCCAGAGACCAGGGUUCAAAUCCUUGCUCU